UACGAAGGGGGCUAGCGUUAUCCGGAGUUACUGGGCGUAAAGGGCGUGUAGGCGGUCUGUUAAGUCUGGCGUGAAAGCUCUCGGCUAAACCGGGAGAGGUCGUUGGAUACUGGCAGACUAGAGGACGGUAGAGGCGUGUGGAAUUCCGGGUGUAGUGGUGAAAUGCGUAGAGAUCCGGAGGAACACCAGUGGCGAAGGCGACACGCUGGGCCGUACCUGACGCUAAAGCGCGACAGCAUGGGGAGCAAACGGG
rnacentral:rRNA from 1 species